rnacentral:rRNA from 1 species
CGGAGGAUCCAAGCGUUAUCCGGAAUCAUUGGGUUUAAAGGGUCCGUAGGCGGUUUGGUAAGUCAGUGGUGAAAGCCCAUCGCUCAACGGUGGAACGGCCAUUGAUACUGCCAGACUUGAAUUAUUAGGAAGUAACUAGAAUAUGUAGUGUAGCGGUGAAAUGCUUAGAGAUUACAUGGAAUACCAAUUGCGAAGGCAGGUUACUACUAAUGGAUUGACGCUGAUGGACGAAAGCGUGGGUAGCGAACAGGAUUAGAUACCCUGGUAGUCCACGCCGUAAACGAUGGAUACUAGCUGUUGGGGGCAACUUCAGUGGCUAAGCGAAAGUGAUAAGUAUCCCACCUGGGGAGUACGUUCGCAAGAAUG